rnacentral:lncRNA from 1 species
CUCCUUUCUCUGGCCCUCCAUCUGCUCAUCUGGCCACUGAGGGGUAGUGAGAGAAGCAAGCUGUCCACCUCUGAGAACUUUCAUCAGGUGAGUGGUGGAGAUUGAGACGCUCAGGAGUCGGCAACAACCACACUCAGGAACUGCCCAUGGGGAGUGUCCACUGAGUGCCAGCGCUGGCCAUGCACCUGACUUGUAGUUUCAUGGUGACUCCGCUUCCAGAUGAGGAAACAGAGGCCCAGAGAGGAUAAGUCACCUGUCCAAGGUCACAAAGCAAAUAUACACCCAGGAAUGGAAUUGCUGGUUCAGGUGUUAGUUCUAUUUUCAGUUUUUUUGAGAAAUUUCCAUACUGUUUACCACAGUGGCUGCACCAAUUUACAUUCUAAGGUCUUGGACGGUCUCUCCACACCUGCCUGACAUCCAGAAGCCCAGAAGGUCAGGAUCGCAGGAUUGGAAGGUAUACCAUGGGAGACUGCUGUGUGGAAGCCAUGGAGCAAAGCCUCCUUAUUCUGCCUACAAAGGGGUGCUGAGCCAGGGGCCCCGAACCUGGCCUGGGCGAGCACACGUCUGCAGAUGUGCAGGUGUGCACACAGCACCCAAAGGAACGACACACACAGGUUUUUCUCCCAGGCACACACCUUGGGACGAGCUGCCAGUUCCAUUUGAAGUCGACUGGCAGGGAAGCAGGUGGUCGAGGGCAGCAGCUGCUCCUUAAACCUGCCUGGGACCCAAGGAAGGCGGGUUCCUGGAGCUUCCUGUCAACCUGGAGGCUCCCUGCGGCCUGGCAGCAGCAGAGCCCCUGGUGAGCGUGUGCACCCACAAACCAGAGAGGGGUGUACAUGUGGCACACACACUUGGAGCUCCAUGUAUGUGCACUGUGCACGUGGCUCGCAGAGCCCCCUGCUCUGUACCCAUCUCUACAAGCUGCAGUGGUCUGGGGGGAAGGUCCAGGGAUGGGCAGCCACAGGCAACCCUGGAUUUCUCAAAACCAUCAAAACAACUACGUGGAAAACUGGAGGAUCAUGCUGAAGGAAGAAAAAAAUGCAGCCAUUCAUCUCUCCUGGAAACUAUCUUUCUAUUCUCUGGCCAUUGUCUAUCCCAUGACCCCAACAUCCACUCAGCCAGAGAAGCACAGAGUGAAGGAACUAUGGCCGUGCAUCUCUGAGACUUGGGUUUGAAUCCUGUUUCUUUCUUUCUUUUUUUGUUUUUUGUCUUUGUCUUUUGCCUUUUCUAGGGCUUCACCUGCGGCAUAUGGAGGUUCCCAGGCUAGGGGUCCAAUCGGAGCUGUGGCCACCGACCUACGUCACAGCCACAGCAACGCCAGAUCCGAGCCACCUCUGCGACCUACAUUACAGCUCGCAGCAAUGCCGGAUCCUUAACCCACUGAGCGAGGCCAGGGAUUGAACCUGCAACCUCAUGGUUCCUAGUCGGAUUCAUUUCCACUGCGCCACAACGGGAACUCCAGCUUCUGCCACUACUGGCAGCAGAAACUUGGGAAAGUCUCUAAAUCUGCUGUGCACUGGCUCAUGGGGCACCGGUUCUGGGGGGUGAACGGAAAAUGGUGUGGUCUGGUGGACCGGCCAGGGGAGGUCACGUGGGGCAGGGAGAGCCACUUCCUGGGCCUGGUGAAAUCUACCAGGCUGCAAGCUGUGAAUGUGGCAUCCUGAGUAGUGGGACUGGUCCCUGCCACCUCACGGUGACCCAAAAGUUGAGUGGGUCCUAGGGAAGGUUGAGGGUUCUGUGAAGAAAGCAAAGCCCGAGAAGAACGAGCUGGAAGACCCGUGUAGUAGCAAGAUGCUUAGUGAGGAGGCCUGGGUUCAGGCACCAGCUCUAUCAGGCAAGUCCCCUCCUCUUUCUGGGCCUCAGUUUUCCCAUCUGGAAUCAGGGGGUGUGUGUUUCGAGACGCCUCGGAUGCAAGAGACUCUGCUGUCUGAGCCACAGCUGACAAUCUAGGAACUGAACACCCUUGCUGUGAGAUGGGGCCAAGGCCCUGAGUGAACAAGAGAUGCUGCUACGCAUCUAACCCACAGCUCUUCCUGCUGCAUGGUCAGACACACCCCCUCACCCUUGCCCUACCUUCCACUCCUCCGUUGACAGUGAUGGGACAAGAGCCAGAGCAGCGAGAGCUCUGUGGGGUCUCCAGGCUCCCCACCCCAACCCUUCCCCUCAGAGAGGCCAUCCAGGCCACGCAGGGGAGGGGGCACGCGUCCAAGCUUACACAAUCACCACCUUGUCUGGGGGAGACAAAGGCCAGGCUCUGGGCCUUGGCGGCCAACUGCCCGGCUGGAAUGACAGAUCACAGACUUGCUGAAUUAAGAAUUUUAAAAAAUGUUAGUACAAUAGCUUCGAUGCUGAAGAAUCUCUAAAAUUCAGAAUAAUGAUGUAUUAGAAUCACAGACGCAGAGAUUCUUCAUUUCAAAGAAA